CAUCCAACUAAGAAACCAGAAUGUUGUCUGUCUGAAACCAGAGACCCAUUGGUUUAAUGUUUUCUUGGUUGUCAUUGGAAAAAGGUAGGACAUCUUGUAUUAAAUUAUGUUUUGUUUCAUUAUCUUUAUCUUGGCAUAGCAUGCUAUUCUGUUGCACAAUAAGACGCACUUUGGGUGCUAGGUACUAAACUUUCCUCCAAACCUCUUGGUAUCUCCUACACAGGUGAAAGAUAAGAGCUCAGUGCUACAACGUAUAAUAAAGUACUGGACCCAGGGGUGUAACUAGAAAUGUCAGGGCCCCAGUGCAAGAAUCAGUGAAAGUCACAGCGCUCACCUUGUGUGAGUGAUUGGUCGUGUGUGACUGUGUGUGGUGUUAGCAGAGUGUGAUUGGCAACUGGGUGAAUGUAAUUAUGUGUGGAGUUGGCUAAAUGUGAUAGUGUGUGUGGAUGUGUGUCUGUGUUUAUUAUCAAAUCCCUCUCUUUUAUACAGAUAGGGAAGUUUAGUUCCUGGUAGUCCAGUGGUUACUGAAUUAAUCCCUGGUAGUCCUGGGAAGAUGCUGCUGGUAGGCUCUCUGCUGGUCUAGUGGGUGCAGACCACAGCCCUUGCUCCUUACCAUCAAUGGGCAUCCAAUGAGUUAGAACAUUGCCAUGGGAAUUCUGUUGUAGCGCUUUGACUCAUUGUAUAAGAGCUGGGACUGCAAGGGAGUGCUUAGCAAGAAUUCCCUUGCAAUCUUUAAAACGACAAUAUAUUACAUAAAAACCUUGCAAGGGUAGGACAUGACCAGCCUGGAACCCAUCACUAUAGCGAACAUUGCAACCAUAGUAGUUUCUUACUGGGCCCAAAGAAUGUUUAUUUAUCUCCAUGUCUAGUCUCCCAACCUCCAAAAUAAAAAAUAAAUAAAAAUCACUAUUUAGUAGAUAUAUACGCUACAUGAAAACUUGUAUGCAUUUGAUUACGCUAUUUUACAUUGCUGGUAUAUAUAAAAACAGCUUGCAAAAAAUGCAGAUCUCUUGCCUGCUGCCUUUGCAAACUCUCCCCUUUUAACCUCGCCUAGACUUUCUGUGGCUGUCCAAUCACAGACUUCUCAAUGCAGCUCAUUGAAAAGUCUUUGCAAUGCAGGUGCUCUGAGCAAUUUCUGCCUCAUGAGUUUAUCUCCACUGACCUAACAAAACAAGGAAGUAACUUGAUCAUUUGUCUUGAAAGCAAAGGGGGUCUAACAAGGUUAUUUUUUUUAAAGUGUCGAUUUCUACUGAAAUCUGUACUUUUUGCAAAAAAAAAAAAAAAAAAAGGACACAAUCACAAAUUAAGCUUUAGAGCAAACUAAAGCACAUUAGGUUUGGAGUGUCCCUUAAGAGGUGUAGCUUUGGUAGUCUUUUCUCACAAGCACGAUUGUUCCCGCAACCUCCCUUCCUGUGGAGCACUAUAAAGUUCUGUGAUAUUCUAUUAUGAUAUUAUAACCCCAAUAAAAAAGGCACCUGGGCAUACCUAAUUAAUUUACAUUUGCAUGUUACACUGACACACCAGGCUGGAGUUUGUCCUAAUUAUAAAGUUAAUUCAUUAAAAAAAAGUUCAGCAAAACAUAAAAGGAGGAUUUGGCACUUCUAAAGUUAGUUCUGCUCACCCUAGGAAGAAACGUUCAGUCAAUCCCAUUAUUUUCAAUGUUUAUUUAUGGAGGUUGGGCAACAGCAUGCACUUUCAACCAUGAAUUGUAUUGAUCGUUUUUUGACUUUUUUCUGGUAAAUUCACAAACAUUUUUUUAUUGAUAUUAUUUCAUUCAACCUAAUUUCCAGUUACUAUUCACACAUCUGGAGUGUUUCUUCAGAUAUGUGAAUUUAUUAUUUUUUCUUCGAUAUUCUAGUAAUAGGGGUUAAGCCCCAUAUGACACUGCUGGAGUGUCAAUAAAGGUGUUUAGUCUAUGGAACGGGUAGAUUUGCCCUAUCCAUAGAUAUAUUUUGUUCUUUUGAAACACUUUCAACCAUGUCCUGAAUAUCACAGGGCCCCAAGGCUAUGUGUUUCUACCACCCGUUUGCUUAAUGGUCCGGUAUGAAGGAUCAAUGAGAUUUGUCUCAUACUACGCUUUCACUAUUGAAGUGCAUGGGGACAUGUUGUAUCAAGUGGAGAAUUGCAAGGGAGUAGGAAUGAGGUUUUAAUACUCUUAAAAUAUUUUUUGGGGUAUUCUUGUAAUUCUAUAUAUUCUAUACAUAUACUGAAAGAAAAAUGAAAACAUAUGGGUAGGUCUGGUGGACAAAACCAGCGUCUGAAGUACUGUCAGUGGAGACAGAGAGGCUGUAUAAGCACUCACAAGCAGGGGGUCCCUUUGGGUGCCACAGUCCUUUUGCAACAUGGUUGAGCCCCUGUCAGAUUACCAGUUCAGACGCCACAUUAGGAAGAAGGCAAAUUGCUUUUUCCCAGCUUAUAAAACGCCACACAGGAAAGGAGAGGAGGAGAAGGCAAACAAAAAAAUCUUUUUUCAGCCCCAAAAAAGGCCAAAUAAAUAUCCAUGAAACCCCCAAAAAAAAAUCCAUCUUCACUCAUCGAGGGCUCUGCGUAGACUGAGCUCUUCAGGGCGGGGGAAGGCUUAUAAAGCCUUGCCCCGCCCUGCAAUUAGGCUCAGAGCACUCUGGUUGGUUGGUUGGUUUAAGCCAUCCAAUCAGAGUGCUCUGACUGGUAAAUGAAGAGACUGACAGGUAAGUCUCUACAUUUACCUGUCACAGCACUCUGAUUGGUUAGCUUGAAAUCCAUCCAAUCAGAGUGCUCUGUGUCAUUUUACACAGCGUGGGAAAGUUCUUUGGAAUUUUCCCACGCUGUGUAAUUUGACUCAUAACAACACUCUGAUUAGUGGAUUGAAAGUAACCAGAGAGUUCUGAGUCAAAUUACACAGCGUGGGAAAAUUCCAAAGAACUUUCCCAUGCUGUAUAAAAUGACACAGAGCACUCUGAUUGGCUGGAUUUCAAGCUAACCAGAGUGCUGUGACAGUUAAAUGUAGAGACUUACCUGUCAGUCUAUUCAUUUACCUGUCAGAGCACUCUGAGUCUAAUUGCAGGGUGGGGCAAGGCUUUAUAAGCCUUGCCCCACCCAGCAGAGCUCAGUCUGCGAGGAGCCCUCCAUGGGUGAAGAUGGAUUUUUCUUUUUGCGCUCGGGUUGUUUUUUGUUUUUGUUUUUUGUUCAAAGUGCAUCAGUUAUUAUAGAUUUUUAUUUGGCCUUUUUUGGGGCUGAAAAAAGAAGAUUUUAGAAGAAAGAAGACAUCAAAUGGUAAGUUUUUUUUUUUGUUUUUUUUUACAGGUACCUAGUUUAUGGUCCCCCAUCAUUAUUUUUAGGGUGAGGGGGGUAGGUAGGAGUUAUUUUUUUGGGGAGGGGGUGACUAUUUAGGGCCCCCAUCCGCCGCUUAGGGGUGGGGGUCAGGGGGUAGAACAAUAGGUCCACCCCCCUCUUAUUCUAAUUUAGGGCUCCCACCCACCGCUCAGGGGUAGGAGCCAGGAAAACUUAGGGCCCCCACCCACUGCUCAGGGGUGGGGGCCAGGGGAGGACAAUAGGUCCCCCCCCUUAUUCUAACUUAGGGCCCCCACCCGCCGCUCAGGGGUGGGGACCAGGGGAGAGGACAAUAGGUCCCCCCCCAUUAGUUUACUUUAGGGGGGAAUGUUUUUUUGUUUGUUUUUAGCAGUGAGCAGCCACAGGCUGUUUAAUAGACAUGCCCCUACUCACUAAUACGAAGUAAUUUUUACUUAGUAUUAGUAAAUGUGGCUGAAAGACCAAUUUAAGACUUUCGGCCUUUUGGUAGAUAACUCCCUAAUACUGUGGGAAUUAGGGAGUUAUCUACUAAGCAGCUGCAAGAUAAGUCCCGAAGUGCCAAAAUCCUUAAAUUCCGAAGUGCCGAACCGAACCACCGAAGUUCCGAAUUUCGGAAUGCCGAGCCGAACCAAAAAUUGUCCCCAUGCACAUCCCUAUGAGGAAGGACUUAUUGCUGAAGGCACCUUACGCGAUGUAAGAUUUUUAAAAAAAAAUUUUUAUGUGUGUUAUAUGAAUAAAUUGGAUCUCUUUUUAACCUGGAGCCUUCUCUUAUUCCUAUAUUGUGGAGAAUAUUUCUGCAAGCCUUCAUCCAAAAUCAAGUUUACUCCUUUCAUGCUGAUUUACCUGAGCCAGUGUAUUACAGGCUCAGUAAAAUGUGAGUUGGAUGUAUAUAAGUACCUGCACUUGCACUCUAUAUCUGGCAGUACAGACUGUACUGCCAUAUAUUAUCUCUUCCAGCUACCCCCGAGAGGAAGCUAUAUAGGGUAUUUAUGCUGUAUUUCUACUCACCAUAUCACUGUACAUGUUUUUUGUGAUUUAUCACUGUGUGCCACCCACUAUAUGUAUUUAUUAGCACUCUAUUUUAUAUACAUAUAAUUUAUACAGUGAACAUAUUGUCUAGUUUCUUAAUAAUAUAAAGUGUAAGAACAUUGUAUGAUUUAAACAGAGAACAAUUAGUGAACACAAAGGGUAGUUGAGGCAGUGGAGAAAGACUAACUGGUUAGUUCUAAUAGUUUUAUAUAGAAGUGUUUUUUUGUACAGAUUUUAGAAGAACAGGGGAAGUUAUUUUGGGCAGGAAAAGAAAUUCCAUAAUGCCACUGGUGCUCUAGACAAGUCAUGUAGGCAAAAGGUGGAGGUGCAAAUAGAAACAGAGGACACGCAUAGAUUGUUGGAAGAGUAGAAAGGUCCUAAUGGAACAGGUCUUCUUAAAGUUGCUGUCACCUUAUAGGGUAUUUGCAUAUUUUGGUUAUGGUUCCAAAAUUGUCACCUUAAUUGGUGACACAAUCUGGGAGAAAAAUAAGGAUCACAGAAGACCAAACUGAUUAAAUCCAUCAUAAAAGUGGUACUGGGAUUCAAAGGAACUUAUCAGAUCACCCAGAGAGACAGUACAGAUCAAAAUGAGGACCAGAACAGAGUUGGUGAUUGCUUAUGGAUCAUAGCAUUUUAAAGAUAGACUUGCUGGAGCCAAAGACUGAUCAGUAAUCAGAAAAGUAUGAAGAAAGUCAUAAAAGAGGAGUCAUGUAGACCAUGCUUAAGAAAGUCAUAAAAUGAAAACUGGUGAUAAAUAGUUUAAUACAUCACCUAUGAGCACAAGGCCUAGUAACAUGGAAUCGCUGUUAUGCACAGAUUAACAUUUUGCAUUUCUCCACCCAUGUUGGUAAUCCAUUUUCUAUGUAAUAUUUUACCACGCUGGUUAUUAUAAACUGAUCUCCAGCACUGAAAUAGUGAGCUAUUAGCACCAAACCAAAUGUUGCAGACAUUUGGUUUGGUGCCAAUAGAUCACUAUACACUCAUCAGCCACAACAUUAAAAUUCAACUGCCUAAUAUCAUGUAGAUAUCCCUUGUGCUGCCAACUCCGCUCUGAUGCAUUGAGGCAUGGACUCCACAAGACCUCUGAAUGUGUCACAGAUGCUCAAUUGGACUAAGAUUAGGGGAAUUUGAAGACCAAGACAACACCAUCAACUCUUUGUCAUGUUCCUCAAACUAUUACUGAAACACUGUCUCCAGUGUAUUUCUUCCUCUCUCUCACUCUUCCUCCAUUGUCCAGUUCUGAUGCUUACAUCCCCAUUGAAAGUGCUCUUGGUGAUGGACAGAGGUCACGAUGGGCACUUUGAUCAGUCAGCGGUUACAUAGCCCCAUACGCAGCAAGCUACAAAGCAGUGUGUGUACGGACACCUUUCUAUCAUGGCCAGCAUUACAUUUUUGAUCAAUUUCAGCUACAGUAGCUCUUCUGUGUGAUUGGACUAUAUGGGAUAGCAGUUGCUCCCCACAUGCAUCAAUGAGCCCUGGUGUCCAUGACCCAAUGCUUGCUGUUUUCAAGAUGCUCUGACCCAGUCAUCUAGCCAUCACUAUUUGGCCUUUGUCAAAAUCACUCAGGUCUUUUUGCUUGUCCAAUUUUCCUGCUUCCAGCACAUGAAAUUCAAGAACUGACUAUUCACUUGCUGCCUAAUAUAGCCCAACCCCUUGAUAGGUGCCAUUUUAAUGAUAUGAUCAGUGUUAUUCACCUGGCAGUGGUUUUAAUGUUGGGGCUGAUCUGAAUAUGACACUUAUACCUGUGACUCAUUUUAGAAGACAAGUGAAUGCCAUACACCAUUCUACACAAUUGUAUGAUAAAUGUUGCCAUGUUGUUUCCAUGCAGACGUGAACAGACGAAUGGAAAUGACUCCAAUGGACCAAGAAAUUUAUUUUAGGCGUGGAAUCCAGAACAUUUUCUUGAUCGAUGGGCUGUAAGCGGUUCCUUCCUUACCUUUCCACUCAAAUUAAAUCACUUCUACCAAUAUUUACUGUAGACUAAGACUACUUAAAAUCAUGCUUCAGUUUUUCAGUAUUUAAUCUGAGAAUUUUUUUCUUUAAUGUUCGUGCUGUGUAAGCCAUGAUAGCGCACAUAUUUGUAUAUUAUACCAAGGCCAUAAGAAUUGCUCACUUUUAAUUAUAAAAACAUAUGAAAAGGAAUU